GCAGCAGUGGGGAAUCUUGGACAAUGGGCGCAAGCCUGAUCCAGCCAUGCCGCGUGAGUGAUGAAGGCCUUAGGGUCGUAAAGCUCUUUCGCCAGGGAUGAUAAUGACAGUACCUGGUAAAGAAACCCCGGCUAACUCCGUGCCAGCAGCCGCGGUAAUACGGAGGGGGUUAGCGUUGUUCGGAAUUACUGGGCGUAAAGCGUACGUAGGCGGACCAUUAAGUAAGGGGUGAAAUCCCAGGGCUCAACCCUGGAACUGCCUCUUAAACUGCUGGUCUUGAGUUCGAGAGAGGUGAGUGGAAUUCCGAGUGUAGAGGUGAAAUUCGUAGAUAUUCGGAGGAACACCAGUGGCGAAGGCGGCUCACUGGCUCGAUACUGACGCUGAGGUACGAAAGUGUGGGGAGCAAACAGGAUUAGAUACCCUGGUAGUCCACACCGUAAACGAUGAAUGCCAGUCGUCGGGUAGCAUGCUAUUCGGUGACACACCUAACGGAUUAA
rnacentral:rRNA from 1 species